GAUGAACGCUGGCGGCGUGCCUAAUACAUGCAAGUCGAGCGAAGCGGGGAAGGGUGAGUAACACGUGGAUAACCUCCUAUAAGACUGGGAUAACUUCGGGAAACCGGAGCUAAACAGGAUACUUAUAGAUGGAUCCGCGCUGCAUUAGCUAGUUGGUAAGGUAACGGCUGACCAAGGCAACGAUGCAUAGCCGACCUGAGAGGUUGUUCGUCCCCACUGGAACUGCGCAACGGUCCAUACUCCUACGUGCGGCAGCAGUGUGGAAUCUUCCUCAGUGGCCGAAAGCCUGACGAAGCAACGCCGCGUGAGUACUGAAGGUCUGCGGUUCGGAACACUCUGUUCUUAGGCUCGCGGUACCUAAUCAGCAAGCCACGGCUAACUACGUUCCAGCAGCCGCGGUAAUUC
rnacentral:rRNA from 1 species